rnacentral:rRNA from 1 species
CCUACGGGAGGCAGCAGUGAGGAAUAUUGGUCAAUGGACGAGAGCCUGAACCAGCCAAGUAGCGUGAAGGAUGACUGCCCUAUGGGUUGUAAACUUCUUUUAUAUGGGAAUAAAAUGUUCCACGUGUGGGAUUUUGUAUGUACCAUAUGAAUAAGGAUCGGCUAACUCCGUGCCAGCAGCCGCGGUAAUACGGAGGAUCCGAGCGUUAUCCGGAUUUAUUGGGUUUAAAGGGAGCGUAGGUGGAUUGUUAAGUCAGUUGUGAAAGUUUGCGGCUCAACCGUAGAAUUGCAGUUGAAACUGGCAGUCUUGAGUACAGUAGAGGUGGGCGGAAUUCGUGGUGUAGCGGUGAAAUGCUUAGAUAUCACGAAGAACUCCGAUUGCGAAGGCAGCUCACUGGACUGCAACUGACACUGAGGCUCGAAAGUGUGGGUAUCAAACAGGAUUAGAUACCCCAGUAGUC